rnacentral:lncRNA from 1 species
CACGAUAAAGAUUGCUUGGCCCCAUUUCAUAGAGGGAGAGAUGUAUGAUAACGUUGAAGGUCCAGAUGCUUAUCACUUUUGUUAUGGUGCUUGAAAGAAUGAAAAGUACAGGCCAUUAUUUAUAGGGGCCGCGCAUUUGCUUCCAUACCUAAUCAAUGUCUCUCCAUUAUUUGCAUUGAAGUUGAAAGGAUGAAGGCAACAACCACGCAAUAAGAGCACCGGGAAACAAUUGCUGACAUUGAGAGGGAGAGAGAGAGAGGGAGCAUGAUUUUCGAAGGACAGGGUGUAAUUUUGAAGGUGAGAGAGAAGCAUAAUUUUGAUGGAAAGAGUGUAAUUUUGAAGUCGAGUUUGCAUAAUUUUUGAAGGAGGGAGUGUAAUUUUGAAGGUGAGAAAGAGUAUAAUUUUGAAGGUGGGAGAGAGAAUUAUUUUUUACAAGGGAGAGCAUAAUUUUCCAAGGGAAAGAGACAGAGAGAAAAUAACUUUGAAGGAGUGAGUGUUAUGGACUAUAAUGUGUGUGAGAGAGAAAGAAUAAUUUAUAAACAUGGAAGUGUUGGGG